rnacentral:lncRNA from 1 species
GCUUGAUGCUGACAGAGCAAUGAAUCACGACCUGGGAACAGAGACUAAAAUUCAGGGGGCACGGUCGGUCAUCAGACUUUAGAGACUACACUGCUCCUUAACAAUGCCUAUUGAUAAGAAAGUUUAAAGAGUAAUGAUGGUAUCAUGCAACAGGUUAAAAUUUAACUUCUUCACUCGACCAAAUUUUUUUUUAUCGCAUCUAUCUCAUUUGCAUUCUUCAGGCAACCGCACUGACAAAGAUGAAAAACAUAUUUGGUUUAAGAGAACAUCAAAUUGAGUACAAGUAGCAGCAUUAUAUUAAUUAGCUUUCCCGCACAAAACUUGCUAACAGAUUGGCAUGUCCAAAGUUGUUUCCAACAAGGGCUGGGGAAGAAAGAGAAUCUACUUUGUGUGCCUUAAAAGACCAGCUGCACAUCUAUACUAAAGAUUAAAUAGAACAAAAAAUGUUCCUAACCAUUUCACUGACAAAAUCAAGCCCAAACAGAACUGCACAAACAUUGCUAUCACAGCGACUAAUACAAGUCUACUAUAUUGAGCUUGCUGAAUUCUGGUCAACAGGAACACCGGGUAUGGAAAAUUUGGAAGCGAGACUAUUUUGUGGCAAAGGCAAGGCCUUCGUCGGAAGCCGGUUAGUGGAUGUACCACGGGCCUUUGU